AAUGAACCAUGACACACAAUCUUGCAUGGACCCAAACGUGAUGGAGUCCAAGGUUGUGGUCAGUUCUUGUGGGCAUGACGGACCAUUUGGAGCCACCGGAGUCAAGAGAUUGAAGAGUAUUGGGAUGAUCGAUAGCGUCCCUGGAAUGAAGGCACUGGAUAUGAAUACUGCCGAGGAUGCAAUUGUUAGACUUACCAGGGAGGUUGUGCCUGGCAUGAUUGUUACGGGAAUGGAAGUUGCAGAGAUUGACGGAGCCCCAAGAAUGGUAACCUUAUCCUCGUGUUUAGUGACUAGGAACAUGUUCCCUGUGGAGUAAAAUAAUGUUAUUGACAAAAUGUUGGUUUGAUUUUGCAGGGUCCAACAUUUGGAGCAAUGAUGAUAUCAGGGCAGAAGGCAGCACAUUUAGCCUUGAAGGCAUUGGGACAGCCAAAUGCGAUAGACGGGACCUUCAGCGAAGCUGAAAGAGUACAACCGGAGUUUGUUCUUGCUGCUGCUGAAACAGAGGAGAUUGUGGAUGCUUGAACAUAUUUGAUAGGGGGUUUGGUUUUCAGGGAAUGGACUCCAUAAAGAUUAUACGUAAAUGAAACUAGACCGUUCUGGAAUGGUGUGUGUGAAAGACUGGAGCUGGACAAAAGGAGGACUUUUGCUUUGAGUUUUGGUUUAAUUGAGUUAUGCUUAAUGUCCAUAUUAUCUUAGAAAAUGAAGAGAAAAAAAUGUUGUGCAAUAUUAAAUGAAGGAAAGGUGAAUGUUGCUGCAACUCCAGGUUGUGGGCCAUAC
rnacentral:lncRNA from 1 species